GGCAGAGGUCGGGUGAGGCUCAUCGCAACAGAUUAACAGAGACAGAGUCCAAAGGCAACGUGAUGAAUUCCAAGUACAGCAUCACAUCCUUAGAACAUCGAGGGGUCAAAAGGAACUAAGACACCUUCUGAGUGAGACCCUGAUUCUGUUGAAAAGGCCUAGAGUGGUGGGGUGACUGCUACUGGGGCACCUCAUUGUCUCCCUCCGCCCACCCACCUGCACCUGACUACCAUGGGCUGUGCCCUCAUGGAGGCACCAUCAAAUGCUAUCAGACCACAGGGAGAGCGUCCUUCAUCCUGCCUGAAGAUGGCAUCCAGGCAGAGUUUUGCUCUUGUUACCCAGACUGGAGUGCAAUGGCGCGAUCUCGGCUCACCGCAAUCUCCGCCUCCUGGGUUCAGGCAGUUCUCCUGCCUCAGCCUCCUGCGUAGCUGGGAUUAAAGCCUUGCCAUGUUUUCUCUUUCGAGAAUUUAUUUUUCAUCUCUUUAUUCACUGGGAUUCUGGACCAUAAUAUAUGUAAACACAAAA